AAGGAAAAUAAUCAAUUCUAGAAUACGUGAUAUUUUGUUAAAAAGUACGAGAAUUGUAGUUCUCCGAGAUAGUAAACUUUGCCAUGACUCUUUAUUCGCGACCUAGAGAUGGCAUGUUUAAUGUACGAAGGAACGAACGUAAUGACGAACUAUAUGCGUAGUGCACAUUAAUUCAGAAACGCGAUGCAACGUUGAGAGGCAUCUCUCUUGUGAUUUGUUUCCACCUAACGAAUCAUACUUCAAAUGCAUAGUUUCGGAUUUAACCAACGAUCCCACGAAUUAAGUUCGCGACGUAUCUGCCAUAAGCGAAUUAAACAGCCAUAAUCUUAUUGACCAAUUUAAUGCUUUGAUGAUCGAGUUAUCUGCACGGACGAAUUCAGUUCGAGUAAAGGAAAAGACUCGAAAGGGAAUAAGUGGCUGUAAAAGGGAAAA
rnacentral:lncRNA from 1 species